rnacentral:misc_RNA from 1 species
GAGGGUUUUUUUGCUUCGAUUCCACUGAAUAAUAUAGAAUUUUAAAUUUAGAAUAGUGAGACAUGCUUUUUUUUUUUUUUCGAUAUGUGUUUCAAUGACUUUAGGAGCUUCAUGCCUGAACUUAUACAGAAAAGAAUGUAAGUUCAUUCUAUGAUGGGCGGGGGAUUCUCAAAUACAUGCAGUACCUCUUUGGAUACCAUAGAACCAACACUGCCUCUAAAAUUUGUUCCAGUUAGUGCUACUUUAUAACAAAAUAUUUAGAGAAGGCCAUAUUUAGGUACAACAAAUACUUCUGUAUGUAUUUAUGUACAUUAAAACAAGAAAUAUAACUCCUGGAAAGUGAAACCUGUAGAGCAGUUUAAGAUCUUUAGUCGCAAUAGAUUUUCUUAAGUGUGCCAUCGCGAUGGCUGCACCCGCAGCCUGUACGCGUUUUUCGGACAAUUACGACAUCAAAGAAGAGUUGGGAAAAGGAGCAUUCUCAAUUGUGAAAAGAUGUGUCCAAAAGUCAACUGGCUUUGAAUUUGCUGCAAAAAUUAUAAAUACAAAAAAAUUAACUGCCAGAGACUUUCAAAAACUGGAACGUGAAGCAAGGAUCUGCAGAAAGUUACACCAUCCCAACAUAGUGCGGCUACAUGACAGUAUACAGGAGGAGAACUAUCACUACCUUGUUUUUGAUCUUGUAACCGGUGGUGAACUUUUUGAAGAUAUCGUUGCACGCGAAUUUUAUUCAGAAGCUGAUGCAUCACAUUGUAUUCAACAAAUAUUGGAAUCGGUAAAUCACUGCCACCAAAAUGGUGUGGUGCAUCGAGAUCUGAAACCAGAGAAUUUACUAUUAGCUAGUAAGGCAAAGGGUGCAGCAGUGAAACUCGCUGACUUUGGUCUAGCCAUUGAAGUUCAAGGCGAUCAUCAGGCUUGGUUUGGAUUUGCUGGCACCCCAGGAUAUCUGUCUCCUGAGGUAUUGAAAAAGGAGCCCUAUGGCAAAUCGGUAGACAUAUGGGCAUGUGGAGUUAUUCUUUACAUACUUCUUGUCGGUUAUCCACCCUUUUGGGAUGAAGAUCAGCACCGACUGUACUCGCAGAUAAAAGCAGGAGCUUAUGAUUAUCCGUCUCCAGAAUGGGAUACGGUUACUCCAGAAGCUAAAAAUCUUAUUAAUCAAAUGCUAACAGUUAAUCCAAAUAAACGAAUAACUGCAGCUGAGGCUUUAAAACAUCCGUGGAUUUGUCAACGAGAACGUGUGGCUUCCGUUGUGCAUCGCCAAGAAACCGUAGACUGUCUCAAGAAAUUUAAUGCGCGGCGCAAGCUAAAGGGAGCCAUUCUUACGACAAUGUUGGCUACCAGAAAUUUUUCGAGCAGAAGUAUGAUAACUAAAAAAGGUGAAGGAUCACAGGUCAAAGAAUCAACCGAUUCAUCUAGCACUACUCUUGAGGACGAUGAUAUAAAAGCAAAAUAUGUGAUCCGCAUCUAACUGCCUUUGAACCGGAAGCACUGGGCAACCUUGUAGAAGGAAUUGAUUUUCACAAAUUUUAUUUUGAAAAUGUUCUUGGUAAAAACUGCAAAGCUAUAAACACAACCAUUUUAAAUCCUCAUGUGCACUUACUUGGUGAAGAAGCCGCUUGCAUUGCCUAUGUCAGACUUACGCAGUACAUUGAUAAGCAAGGACAUGCACAUACCCAUCAGUCCGAGGAGACGCGAGUCUGGCACAAACGCGAUAACAAAUGGCAGAAUGUUCACUUUCAUCGAAGUGCAUCUGCCAAAAUAAGCGGAGCAACUACAUUCGAUUUUAUACCCCAAAAAUAGUGGGCAUUAAUCAAUUGAAUAUAAACUGUCAUUAUGCACACGUCAAUGAAAGUGCUACAUUUAUUUUUAGAGAAUACAAUAGUUUAUUGCAAAUAAAGAUGCUAGUGCAAA